AUUGAACGCUGGCGGCAGGCCUAACACAUGCAAGUCGAGCGGUUGAAGGGAGCUUGCUCCUGGAUUCAGCGGCGGACGGGUGAGGAAUGCCUAGGAAUCUGCCUGUGAGUGGGGGAUAACGUCCGGGAACGGGCGCUAAUACCGCAUACGUCCUUAGGGAGAAAGUGGUUGUUCUUCGUACCUCACGCUAUCAGAUCAGCCUAGGUCGGAUUAGCUAGUUGGUGGGGUAAAGGCCUACCAAGGCGACGAUCCGUAACUGGUCUGAGAGGAUGAUCAGUCACACUGGAACUGAGACACGGUCCAGACUCCUACGGGAGGCAGCAGUGGGGAAUAUUGGACAAUGGGCGAAAGCCUGAUCCAGCCAUGCCGCGUGGGUGAAGAAGGUCUUCGGAUUGUAAAGCACUUUAAGUUGGGAGGAAGGGCAGUAAGUGAAUACCUUGCUGUUUUGACGUUACCAACAGAAUAAGCAACGGCUAACUUCGUG
rnacentral:rRNA from 1 species